rnacentral:lncRNA from 1 species
CGGACUCGCGUGAGUGCGCGUGCGUUGGGGCCUCAGCCUUUAUCUCCACUCUGCGGAGAUUCACGCCUGGAAAACGCUCUUCUGAGAGGAUCUGUGGAGGUCAACCCAGGAGAGAGAAGACAGGACUGAAGCACUGAAAGGGUCCUGCCGUUAAGGGCGCAGGAUUGUAUAGAAUAUAUAAUAGCAGUAGCAGCUCUGUUUACGGAGCAUUAACCUUACGUGGAGUUAUUUCCUGCAUUUCCUCCUUUCGUCUUUACAAGGUAGCCGUUUGGCGUCGUGAGAGAUUGGGUCUCUCCACAUUGCCCCGGCUGCUCUCCAACCCCUGAGUUCAAGUGAUUCACCUCCCUUGGCCUCCCAAAGUACUGGGAUUACAGGCGUGAGCCACCGUGCCUGGCUGAGAAGAUGGAUUUAAGACAUAUUUUGGAGCGGAAAGUGACCAGAAGAGGUGUGCAGUUUCCAGGCCUGGCCCAUACAGACCUCCAACAGGUGCUCCCCUGUGCUGUUACUCCUUCUGCCAACUGGAAGCAGAUGGUGACCAGGCUCUGGAGAAGGCAAGGCCUGAAGAUGGGAGAUUCCUAAGUGGAGGAGAACUGUGCCUUACUGACCUAAAUAUCCACUCAGUAUUGUUAUGUGAGAAUAAAUAAACUUGUGUUGACCGUUUA